rnacentral:lncRNA from 1 species
AUCCUCCAGUCUUUACUCAGCCACAUCCCUGGGUGGGAGCCUUUAUGUCCCACAGGCCCCUUGUUUGGUGAUGUGUAUUUGCCUGUGUUUUUUCAGAUGACUGUGUUCCACAGCUGCAUAACUGUGUACCACUUGUCCCAGGAUGUGUGUUCCCCAUUUCUCAGGACAAGGCAACUGAGGCUCUGAGAGAACCAUGGAGUGAUAAGCAGAGAAGCUGGAUGUGCUCGCCAUUCCCUGGGCUCUUCUGGGGACACUUGCUUCUAUCUCUCUAUCACGAGGGUAGAGGAGACACCAAACAAGAUCUUGGGCCUGCUCGCCUUCAGACUGGAACCACACCACCAGCUCUCCUGGGUCUCUAGCCUGCUGACUCACCCUGCAGCUCAUGGGACUUGUCAGUCUCCAUAAUCGGCUGUCUGCAGAGAACAGACUUCUUCACCCUCAGGAACCUCACUGCAGCCCUACAUCUCUGCGGCUGGACGUCCCCAUUGAUCACAGACCAAGGCCAGGAUGUGCUCCAUAUGUCUUUCCCUUUCUGCUGUUUUCUAGGCCCGAGGAGUUGACCGUGUGAGUCCUGGCUUGUCAAUGGUGCAGCGGGGGCUGCAGCGACUCUGGCUCUGUGGCUUCACUGUGCCUGUGGGUGGCCGACGAAGCCAUCAUCUUGAGUGCAUGGUGCCACCAAUGCGUGUGGCAAUCAGACAGGAAAUGACAUGGCUAUAUUGAAGGCCAGCCUCCGGCACUGUGGCUUCACUGUGCCUGCGGGUGGCCGAUGAGGCCAUCGUCUGAGUGCACAGUGUCACCAGUGGAUGUGGCAAUCAGACAGGAAAUGACAUGGCUAUACCAAGGGCCAGCCGUGUCUAUGCUGCCUUCAGACAGUUGGGUCAACCCUUGCCAGGGUCCAGACUCAGUCUCUGAAAAGGUCCCCCUUCCUCAAUGCUCCUAAGACUGAAGCACCUACCUGGAGCUCACUGGGCCACUCACAUGGGUUUCCGUGGCUAUGCUACACGGGAAGCCAAGUCAUAGUCAGAAGCCACUUGACUGAUUGUGAAAAAAAUGGCUUUCAACAAGACCAGGAAUAAGCACAGCACAUGUUCUCUGUUUAGACAGCCAAGAGUGGUUAAUCUACUUGCCCAGGACGGGCCAGCUGGAGCUGCAGAGGAAUGAACCCAGAGCCUGUGCUCCAGGCAGGCACACACACGGCCUCUGGGGUGGGGGUCGGGGGGACUUGGGGCUGGGAGCCACACACGCAACCUCUGGGGGGUCACACACAUGACCUCCGAGGAGCUUCCCAUGCUAGUCUUGCACAAAUCCCUAAGAGUUAUUUCCAGGGUAUCAUAUGCUGAUACCCUGGAAACACAUGUUAAAAGCUGAUGAUGGUUACUUAGCGGGGUGUCUGGGCCUUUUUUGGUCAGAAACAAGAACUAGAAAGGAUGAAUCUGAAAUUCAGAGAAAGUACUGUAGGACAGUGGUCCCCAACUUUUUUGGCAGCAGGGACCGGUUUCAUGGAAGACAAUUUUUCCACAGCCGGUGGGAGUAGUGGGGAUGAUUUUAGGAUGGAACUGUUCCACCUUGGAUCAUCAGGCAAUAGUUAGAUUCUCAUAAGGAGCACACAACCUAGAUCCCUCGCAUGCACAGUUCACAAUAGGGUUCAUGCUCCUAUGAAAAUCUUUUGCUGCUGCUGAUCUGACAGGAGGCAAAGCUCAGGUGGUAAUGCUUGCUUGCCCAAUGCUCACCUCUUGCUGUGUGACCUGCUUCCUAACAGGCCCCAGACAAUCCUGGUCUGUAGCUGGGGGUUGGGGACUCCUGCUGUAGAAGAAUGAGCAGUUGCAACCAGCUCCACAGCUGAGUAGCUGCCAUCACCAGCCUGGAGGGUCAGGCUGCCUCACAGGCCCUUCACUCCAUUAUUGGGCAAAUGGAAAGGACUCAUUCGGGCUGUCUCCUGGGGGAAAGGUCAUAACGUGUGGCGCAGGAGCUUGUGUCUCUGAUAGGCUGCACACUCCUUCCAUGACUGAUGGUCAGCGUGGGGAAUGCUCCACAGGUUUUUUGAGUAUGAGAGCCCACAAGUAUUUUAGUUUAUGAAGAAUGUUCAUACAUGUCAUUUCAUUCAUGGGUGAACUCAAACUCGAAGGACACAGAGGCAGUAAACGCCAGGUGGACUCCACAUCAGGGGCCGACCAGGGUCCCAAGCCCAGUGAUCUCAUAAACCCCCAAAAGCGGGCCUCCGCCCCUGGGCUCUGGUAGAUGGCACUGGUAGCAUACUCUCCACCCCUUCCUGGCCAGUGGCACCCACUGCCUGCCUUCAUGCAGGAGAGAGAGCCUCAUUCAGGUCUUCAACAAGCCAGCUUUUAUUUUUAUUUCAGAUUUAAGCCAAUUCUUGUCAAGAUCAAUAGCAUCUUGGUCAAUAGAAUUAUUUGAAACCCUUAAGAUACAUAACUUUAAGUAGCCUUUGGAAUAAUGCACUUUAGAAAUAUUUUCAAAGGCAUUUGACUGGAACAGCAAGGGGGUUACUCUCACUGGAGAAUCCUUUCAGGGAGAUGAUUCGGCAGUUCAGAGUCAUUUGGGCAAGCGAUUCAUUCUCAGCAGACCACAAAUAUCCCCCAGCCCUUCCUCCAUCUGUGUCCCAAAACUAACAAGCCUGUUCUUCUCUUGGGAAACAUUAAUCUGACUAAUGGCCUCAAUCCCCAUCUCAUACCCUUCCUGGGAAGACUGGAUCAUCAUUAACAAACCCCAAAUCUUCCAGAACCUCCCUAUGACUGACCAACACUCAUGUCCCGACGUAUGGACUACUUCCUCACGUGCCCCCCAACUCUGUUUCUCUUGCUCCCAAUAGAUCAGCUCUCCCCUUGGCUGGAGGCAAGUGGACUGUGCAGGGGACACUCCCUGGCAGCACCAACCCGCCUGCUGCCCAGAUGCCCCUCACACCCUGCAGGGCCACGCUGCCAAAGGCCAUGGCUUCCUGGUGACAGCAGUACUCCUGGAAACAUUGUAAAUCAACCCCACAGCCUUUCCCAGCAUCUUUCCUGGGCAGAGGAGGAAAGAGCCCUGCUGUGAACAGUGUGGUCAUGGGCCAGGUGUCCAGGAACAAGAGAAGUCACCCGCAUGCUUGCAUUCCACAGAGGGCAGUUUCACUGGCCCUGGGUCUGCUAUCUGUCACACAGGUGGCACUGGAUUUCAGAGUUUCUGAGGGGCGUUUUCUUUUGUUCUUACCCCUACCAAACACUAUCUAUGCAGGUCAAAUCCAUAGCAUCUGUGGGCCCCUCAUUUGAGGACUGCCUAAGCUCAUUCUCAAAAAAAAAAAUAAAUAAAUAAAAUGAAAACCAUCAAGCAGGCAGAGACGAUGAAAACCAUUGCUUCAGAGUGUGUCUGCCUCAGUCCUGUCUCCUGGGGGACAGGGGUGUGUAGAGAGUAUGGCCACUGAGCCUGGACAGGAGCUGUGGGGUGGGUCUGCAAGCUGCGUGUCAGCAGUUGAGGUGAGGAAUGGUACAGAAUGAAGACUGUCUGUGAGUCCCCUGAAACUCACACCAUCAUUUCAGGUCUUCAUACACACGAAAUAAUCCAUGAGAUAACUUUUCCAAAUUAACUGCAAGAAGUCUUUAAGAGGUUGUGGGGGAACUUUUUACAGGAGCAUACGAUGGGAAAUGUUUUGAGGGAGUCUUAUUUCCCCCAAGACUAUUAGAAUUUUAAACACACAGGUCUCUCAGCAGGCUACCUCUGCUCUAAAAUGCUGAAAAUUCUAUAAAUUCUCAAUGAGCUGUUAUAAAGAGAUUGUGCCAUACCUGUUUAAAACUAGUGUACCUUAUUCUGAAGGGCUUAAAAUGUUGAGAGGGAGAGCUUAAUGAGGAAAGAGAGAGGAACAAGAGAGAAAAAGAGAAAUUGGCUCCUUUAAGAAGUUUCUGGCAGAAAAUCAGCUUUAAAAAUAAGUUGCUCAACUCAAGAAAAAAAAUUCUCUGCAGAAUGAACAACUGUAAGGGGAGAGAGAGAGAUGGGGGCUAGGCAGAAUUCCGGAUGGCUCCUGGGGUCUCCCACUGGUGUGUUCCCCCAUGUGAUUGCCUCCCCUUGAGUGUGGGAAGGACCUGUGACCCUCCCAAUGGGAUCUGGCAAGGUGAUGGGCUGUCCCUUGCGAGAUGAAGUUGCUGUAUGUGUAUAUACCGUACAAGGUUUUGUCUUGCUGCGUACACAGGGAGACACUGUCGUGGCCCUUGAGGAAGCAAAUGCCAUCUUGUAACCAAGGACAGGGCCAUGUGGGGUGGCUGGGAAAUGCAGAAGGCCUUGGGCUUCAAUCCUGCUAUCACAAAGAGCCACAUUCUGCCAGCAGCCAGAGAGCUUGGAAGGGAACCCCAAGUUUCAGAUAAGGACAUGGCCUGAUUGGACCCCAACCUUGCAAGUUCCUUGGCAGAGGACUCAGGUGAGCCAUGCCCAGACUUCUGACUCCUGGAUACCAUGAGAUAAUAGAUGGGUAGUUGUGUGAGUGGGUGUGUUUAAAAAAUAGCUGUAUUUUACACACAUACGAUUCACCCAUUAAAAGUAUACAAUCCAACAUACUAUAGUGUAAUAUAUUCACAGAGUUAUGAAAUCGUCAACACUAUCUAAUUUUAGAACACUUUCACUUCUCUUAAAAGAACCCCAGUCCUCAUUAGCUGACUCCAUAUUUCGCUUUCUUUCCUGCCCAGCCCUAAGUAACCACAAACCUAGUUUCUGUCACCAUAGACUUGUCUAUUUUGGACAUUUUAUAUUAAUGGAAUCAUAUAAUAUGAGGUCUUUAGUGACUACAUACUUUCACUUACCAUAUUGUUUUCAAGGUUCAUCCAUGUUGUAGCAUGUAUUAUGGCUUCAUUCCUUUUUUAUGGAUGAAUAAUAUUACAUACAUAAAAUGUGUAUAGUAUAAUACAUUUUAUUUAUUAAUGUAUAAGUUGGUGAACAUUUGUCUAUCUCCUUUGGAGAAAUAUUUGUUCAAAUCAUUUGCUCAUUUUUAAAUUGGGUCAUUUAUCUUUUUAAUAUUGAGUUGUAAGAACUCUUUAUAUAUUCUAAAAACAAGUUCCUUGUUAGAUACAUGAUUUGCAAAUGCUUUCACCCAUUCUUUUCACUUUCUUGAUGCAUCUUUGGC